AUACGUAGGGUGCGAGCGUUGUCCGGAAUUACUGGGCGUAAAGAGCUCGUAGGUGGUUUGUCGCGUCGUCUGUGAAAUUCCGGGGCUUAACUCCGGGCGUGCAGGCGAUACGGGCAUAACUUGAGUACUGUAGGGGAGACUGGAAUUCCUGGUGUAGCGGUGAAAUGCGCAGAUAUCAGGAGGAACACCGGAGGCGAAGGCGGGUUCCUGGGCAGUAAAUGACGUGGAGGGGCGAAAGCAUGGGGGGAGAACAGGAUGAGUUACCCUGGGAGUCCAUGCCGUAAACGGUGGGUGCUAGGUGUAGGGGUCUUCCACGACUUCUGUGCCGUAGCUAACGCAUUAAGCGCUCCGCCUGGGGAGUACGGCCGCAAGGCUAAAACUCAAAGGAAUUGGCGGGG
rnacentral:rRNA from 1 species